AGCUCCAAUAGCGUAUAUUAAAGUUGUUGCAGUUAAAAAGCUCGUAGUUGGAUUUCUGGUAGAAGGUUAGAGCGCACCUGCGUGAUGCUCGCGUCUUCUGCCAUCCUUCUGUUAACCUAGCAUGGCCUUGAUUGGUCGGCUAGGGGCUCAGAUAUUUUACCUUGAGAAAAUUAGAGUGUUUCAGGCAGGCUUGUGCCCGGAUACAUUAGCAUGGAAUAAUAGAAUAGGACUUUAGCCUCUUCUGUUGGUCUGAGGGGUUGAAGUAAUGAUUAAUAGGGAUAGUUGGGGGCAUUAGUACUUAACUGUCAGAGGUGAAAUUCUCGGAUUUGUUAAAGACUAACUUAUGCGAAAGCAUUUGCCAAGGAUGUUUUCAUUA
rnacentral:rRNA from 1 species